GGUAUUCACCUUCCCAAUGCACAUCAGAAUCAGGACUUUUUUAGCCUCUUCUUGUUUAUAUGUUGGAGGAUCUAUUUAAUUAGAAUUUGCUAUAGUGGUAUAGUUUUUGUAUGCAUGUAAGAUAUUGGUUGAUGACAAUAUGGCUGAGAAGUUGGUUAAUGAUGAAGGUAUCAGUUUACAUUUCAGAGAGCAGUACCAUGGAGUCAGUAUUGUAGCUAAAGUAGAAUGAAGAAAUUUUAAUAAGUUAAUUUUCAUUUUUCCUUCAAUAUCUUUUUGGAAACACUUUAAUGACUAUUGUGCAAAUAUUUUGAAGAAUAUAAAAAAUAAUCUGAAAACAUCACAAAUUUACCUAAAUGCUAUUUAUGUUAUCAGUUCUCAUUGCAUGAUAUGGUUCAAGAGUUAUUAGUAAUAGGUGUGGCAAUAUGAUUUGUACAUUUGAUUCUAAUACAUGAAAUUUCUACCAGCCCAGAUGGAAAUUUUCUUGUAUUUUUAUCAGCAAGAAGCUCAGUUGAUACUGGAGCCCAUUCUGCUACAAAUUCACUUCAUAGAAUUGAUUGGCCGAAGGAUGUGAAACUCUAUCAAUCUGCAAAAGUUCAUGAUGUGGUAAGCUUUUUUUACAACCAGUUUAACUUUAAUCCAAACAAUUGCCAUGGAGCUUUGUUAUCUAUUGUUACUCUUGCGUAUUUUUAUAUGCUCAUAUUAAUUAAGGCUUAAGAGAAUGAAUUUCUACUUUAUCAUAUGCUUAAGAACAUGAUCUAUAGUUUUUUUUACGGCAAUUGAAACACCCCUACUAGACAUUACCUAGGAUAUCUAGCAUGUGUGUUAAACUUGGCAUUGGAUACAUUAAAAUUUCAAUAAUAAAAAUUUCCUCUUAAUGAAAUAUGGAAAUGCUCGUCUUAUACCUCUGAAAUAAUACCACUUACGUGAACUUCCUAUGAUCCGACAACUUCUGCCUCUUCACCACGAACUAUUCUGUCAUCUAGCAACCUGAAUAUCUGAAAUAAAUAAAAGGGAUUGGGGUGAGACAGGAUGUCUCAGUGAGUUCCACCUAUCCUAGGUUGUAGGCAAUCGCAGGGAACCUAGGAUCGCCAUCUGUUCUAAACUUAACCCAUUUCGGGUUUAUACAGUCUUUAUCAUACAUAACUGAGCGAUCGGGGAUAACUAGGAUCACUACCUAAUACUAUCAUGAUUCUAUCAUAAUGUCAUAUUCUUAUUUUUACACAUAAUCAUAAUCAUAAUCUUAACUCUUACUUAAAGUUCAUGUCAUUAUUUUUUUUUUAUACAUUUCAAUGUGUGCAUAUAUACCACAUUAAUUACUAUGAGCCGUACCUCAUAUGCUACAUUAUCUCUUCGUUUUAGCAAACGGAGUUUUUGCAUUUGUUACUAUGAGCCGUACCUCAUAGACUACAUUAUCUCUUCAUUGUAGCAAACGGAUAUUUUCUCAAUUUUUUUUUUCUUUUUCUUUCUUUCUACGAGCAUGUUACUCAUUUCAAUUCUUCUUUCAAAUAAUUUCUAUAAGUAUAUACAUCAAUUGUCUUGCUUAGCAUUUUAUUGUUAGAACCAAUUCAUAUGACUUAGCAUAACAUUGAUAUCAUACAAGAUUUCAUUCACAUUAUCAUGACUUUGCAUAACCAUUAAAAUCUCGUUUGUAUUGAGUAAAAGUAAAUAACACAAUUUUAAUGACAUGAUUCAAACUAUUCAAAGGGAGAGUUAACUAACUAAAGGAACUCACCGUGAAUCAUUCCUGGAGAUUGAAAGCAACUUAUCCACAAUUUGCAGCUUCUUCUAUCUCUAAAACUCCAUAAUCACUUUUCCAAAAUAGCUUAUGCCUUAACUUAUAGGUCUUUCCUUUUCUAAAACAGUCCAACCCACUUGCGGCAUACUCCUACUUUAUCAACCAGCAUACAAAAAUUCUCAUUUCAGUCCCAUAAAUAAUCUCUUUUGGAACUUUAAUCCCUUUUUAUGCUUCAGCUCAUAGCUUCCACUUCUUGGCUGCUCAUGCUUCGUUUCAAGCUUCAGAUCAAAAGCCCAAACCCUAGAUCUUGUGUCUUGCUCCAACAUGCUCAAACUUGCCUCUUAUGUUCAAAUUAUAGCUCCAAACUUCAAUUCUCUUUGCAAUAUCACCAAUUCCAUUCUUAACCUCUUAAAUCCUUGUUAGAGUGCAUAUGAACAACUUCUCACGUGAGAAAAGAUUGAAGGAAUAAACCUUCUAAUAGUUCCCUUUGCUUCUAUGCUCAAGAAAUUAGCAAAACAUGAAGAAUCACUUGAAAGAAUGAAAUUAUUUUGAUGGAUUGGUGAGCAAGAGAGGAGGGGCGAUGGUAUAGAGAGGAAGGGGAAGAUAAUUUCAGAUUUUUUUUUUCAGUAGGAAAGUAGUAGAAACUUGUAGAAAAAUCAUACAAUUUGUCUUAUAUACACCUUUUAUUGUAAAAUGACAAUUUUGCCCUUUUUUUACAUUUUCUUCAAACGAAAAUAUCCGGUAAAGUGCCGUAAAGUUUUAAGCACAAUUUCCUUUUUACCCUUCUCUUAAAAAAAAUUCCAAAGAUAAAAGAACUUAUACUGAAUUUUUUACAUCUGGGGUAUUACAGCAAUGAUUUAGAAAAUUUAAAUGUUGAAUAUGGUUUUGUUAUUUAUGUCUAUGUUUUGUAUAUGAUUUUUUGUUUCUAGAACUUGUCUUUAUUGUGAUUAAAACGGUAAUGCUUUUGCUAUAACAAUUGAAUGAGGGUUUGGUCUGGUUAGGAAACUUCACAAUUUCGUCUUCUUGGGACUGCAUA
rnacentral:lncRNA from 1 species